rnacentral:rRNA from 1 species
GAUGAACGCUGGCGGCGUGCCUAAUACAUGCAAGUCGAGCGAACAGAUGAGGAGCUUGCUCCUCUGACGUUAGCGGCGGACGGGUGAGUAACACGUGGAUAACCUACCUAUAAGACUGGGAUAACUUCGGGAAACCGGAGCUAAUACCGGAUAAUAUAUUGAACCGCAUGGUUCAAUAGUGAAAGACGGUUUUGCUGUCACUUAUAGAUGGAUCCGCGCCGCAUUAGCUAGUUGGUAAGGUAACGGCUUACCAAGGCGACGAUGCGUAGCCGACCUGAGAGGGUGAUCGCCCACACUGGAACAGAGACACGGGCCAGACUCCUACGGGAGGCAGCAGUAGGGAAUCUUCCGCAAUGGGCGAAAGCCUGACGGAGCAACGCCGCGUGAGUGAUGAAGGUCUCCGGAUCGUAAAACUCUGUUAUUAGGGAAGAACAAAUGUGUAAGUAACUAUGCACGUCUUGACGGUACCUAAUCAGAAAGCCACGGCUAACUACGUG